UACGGAGGGUGCAAGCGUUGUCCGGAAUCAUUGGGCGUAAAGAGUUCGUAGGUGGCAUGUUAAGUCUGGUGUUAAAGGCAGAAGCUCAACUUCUGUAAGGCACUGGAUACUGGCAAGCUUGAAUGCGGUAGAGGUAAAGGGAAUUCCUGGUGUAGCGGUGAAAUGCGUAGAUAUCAGGAGGAACAUCGGUGGCGUAAGCGCUUUACUGGGCCGUAAUUGACACUGAGGAACGAAAGCCGGGGUAGCAAAUGGG
rnacentral:rRNA from 1 species